rnacentral:rRNA from 1 species
UACGGAGGGUGCAAGCGUUAUCCGGAAUCACUGGGUUUAAAGGGUGCGUAGGCGGCUAAAUAAGUCAGAGGUGAAAUGCUACGGCUUAACUGUGGAAUUGCCUUUGAAACUAUAUAGCUAGAAUAGAGUUGAGGUUGGCGGAAUGUGACAUGUAGCGGUGAAAUGCAUAGAUAUGUCAUAGAACAUCGAUUGCGAAGGCAGCUAACUGGGCUUUUAUUGACGCUGAGGCACGAAAGCGUGGGGAUCAAACAGG